AUUGAACGCUGGCGGCAGGCUUAACACAUGCAAGUCGAACGAGUGGCGGACGGGUGAGUAAUGCUUGGGAAUCUAGCUUAUGGAGGGGGAUAACUGCGGGAAACUGUAGCUAAUACCGCAUACCAUCAGAUGAACCCAUAUGGGAUUAGCUUGUAGGUGAGGUAACGGCUCACCUAGGCGACGAUCCCUAGCUGGUCUGAGAGGAUGAUCAGCCACACUUGGACUGAGUAACUGCCCAGACUCCUUCGGGAGGCAGCAGUGGGGACUAUUGCACAAUUGGCGCAUGCCUGAUGCAGCCAUGCCGCGUGUAUGAAGAAGGCCUUCGGUUUGUAAAGUACUUUCAGUCGGGAGGGGUUACCGACAGAAGAUGCACCGGCUAACUCCGUGCCAGCAGCCGCGGUAAUUC
rnacentral:rRNA from 1 species